rnacentral:rRNA from 1 species
GCGUGAGAAUCUGCCCUCAGGAGGGGGAUAACGGCUGGAAACGGCCGCUAAUACCCCAUAUGCCGAGAGGUGAAAUGAAAUUCGCCUGAGGAUGAGCUCGCGUCUGAUUAGCUAGUUGGUGGGGUAAGAGCCUACCAAGGCGUCGAUCAGUAGCUGGUCUGAGAGGAUGAUCAGCCACACUGGGACUGAGACACGGCCCAGACUCCUACGGGAGGCAGCAGUGGGGAAUUUUCCGCAAUGGGCGAAAGCCUGACGGAGCAACGCCGCGUGAGGGAUGAAGGCCUCUGGGCUGUAAACCUCUUUUAUCAAGGAAGAAGAUCUGACGGUACUUGAUGAAUAAGCCACGGCUAAUUCCGUGCCAGCAGCCGCGGUAAUACGGGAGUGGCAAGCGUUAUCCGGAAUUAUUGGGCGUAAAGCGUCCGCAGGCAGCCUCGUAAGUCUGUCGUUAAAGCGUGGAGCUUAACUCCAUCUCAGCGAUGGAAACUGUGAGGCUAGAGUGUGUAGGG